rnacentral:rRNA from 1 species
CCAAUAGCGUAUAUUAAAGUUGUUGCAGUUAAAAAGCUCGUAGUUGAAUUUCGGAAUCUGUCCAUUGGUCGGGCUUCACUGUCCGUACUGGUGUGGUGGGUUCUUACCUUCUGAAUAACCAGCAUGCCAUUUAUUUGGUGCGUUGGGGAAGCAGGACUAUUACCUUGAAAAAAUUAGAGUGCUCAAAGCAGGCUAGUGCCUGAAUACAUUAGCAUGGAAUAAUAAAAUAGGACGGCAUGGUUCUAUUUUGUUGGUUUCUAGGAUCACCGUAAUGAUUAAUAGGGAUAGUUGGGGGCAUUAGUAUUCAAUUGUCAGAGGUGAAAUUCUUGGAUUUAUUGAAGACUAACUUCUGCGAAAGCAUUGGCCAAGGAUGUUUUCAUUAAUCAAGAACGAAAGUUAGGGGAUCGAAGACGAUCAGAUACCGUCGUAGUCUUAACCAUAAACUAUGCCGACUAGGGAUCGGACGAUGUUAAUUUUUUAAUGACUCGUUCGGCGCCUUACG